GAUAAAAUGAUGAUUCGAAGAUAUGUUGCUUGGAUCUCAGGAAACUAUCAAAGAGAAAAAAAUAUUAACAGCAAUAAACUAUAGUCAGCAAGUAUGAAUCAUUAUGUUGGAAAUAAUAAAGCUAAAGGUUUUCCCUGCCAAGUCGUGCCCAACACUACGAGGUGGUGCUCAUCUCCAUUUCCUAGCCAAGGAAGCCGGUGUUCUCCAAAAACACUUCCAUGGUCAUGUGGCCAGCAUGACCGAGGCACACGGAACAUUGUUACCUUCCUACCAAAGUGGUACCUGUUUACCUACUUGCAUUUGCAAGCUUUUAAACUGCUAGGUUGGCAGGAACUGGGGCAAGAAUGGGAACUGUCAUCUAGUACUACUUGGGUUUCAAACUGCCAACUUUCUGUCAACAAGCCCAGUAUCUUAACUGUUAGGUCACCAUGCUCCUAUGUUGAAAGUAAUACCAUAUAGCAAAACUUAACAAUAUGGAGAGCUGGAAUCUCACUGGCCAAAUAAAAAAAUGGCGGUAUAUAAUAGAUCAGUUCUGGAUAUUUUACUAUCUGAAGAUAAAUGAAGCAGGAUCUAAGAUCUCUAUAAAAAAAACUCCAGUAUAAAGGGCAGUGGAUUCCUAAUACCUCCUGUCCAUAUGAUUGAGCCCUGCAGGAUAUUUUUUUAUAUCUGCCUUAAACAGCUGAUGGCGAGGUAUUAAAAUGAUCUAGUAUUAGAGUUUCCAAUUUAGAAACUCUGGUAAAAUUUAAGCACACUGCAGGACUGAACAGGGAGCCUGUUUACUUAAAAAUACAACACUGGGCAAAUUGGACUAAUGUAAUUGUCCAGAACCUGUUGCAUCUGUUGUUAGCCUGCUUGUGUCCCAAAGAAGGAUCUUUGAGAGAAUUCAUAAAAAUGCAGGGUGUUUUUUCUGAUAAGUAUCUCCUCCAUCUAGUAUUAAAAUUAUCUUCUAAUGUUUAUGGGGUUAAGCCAGUGGGUAAAAAUAUUCAUGUUAACCAAGAAGAAAAGAAAAUUAUUCAUAUUUUGGUUAUUAUCUGAAUUAACUCCAACCCGCAAAGGAGGUGAACACUAAAACAGGAUAUGGGCUACUGUAUGAAAGAUGAUCUUUAAAAUUUUUGAAUGCACAAGUUUCUAAUUUUGAGUUAUUGCCAUAAGGCCCAAGCUACAUACUAUUAAAAUGCUAGGAGCAGCCGUUGGCAGAAAAUAGUUUUAAGAUAGCAGGCAUCCCCAUCAAAACAUAUUCCAAUUGCCGAAGCUGAUUUUGGAGCUUUCUGGACUACAUAAUCCAGAUUAGCACAUCUAUUGGACAUCAAAAAAAACUUUGCAAGAUAUUUAAACACCUUGACUUAUUUGAUUUGAUGGCCAUUUAAAUUACUACUUCUGAAUUCUAAUACGUUUAGCCAAUAUCAAUAUUUUUGCCUUUACACAGUCCCUACAGCACAUAGUUGAUGAUCUUAGGGCAUGUUUCAGUCCAAUGAAAGUCUGAGAUAAAACUACCAUAUUUGGCUUAUUGAAACAUAUGAGCUGCUGUUGUGGCGGCGGCGGCGGGGUGGGGAGUCAGAGUAUUCAGAUAGAUGGUCAGAGUUUAUGUAAAAAGUAAAUAACAGUGAUGCCAACAUACAAUCCUAUCUACCUUCCCAAACCAAGUUAAUUACUUUAGUUGUGUAAUUUUGUGAAAUAAAUUGGAUUUUUAGACAAGCUUUUUCAUGAAGCUCAAGCAACAAUAACAAUACACAUAUCUAUAAUGGAAUUGAUGAGCUUAUCUGAUGUCUUAGGCCCAGAUUUUUAGUUUAAGGCAAACUUAAAAUCAACAAAAGCAGCAUAUAGGCAAAUCCUACUUUAGCCAUACACUUAAAAUAAAGGCAAGAUCAAGGUAUGUUGGGUCUAAUAUCAGCCUAUUUCUCUGGACUUGUCCUAUUUCCAGCCAAUUCACUAUUUUUGUAUUUAAAUAUUUGGCAUAAAUGUUGCUAAUGCUUAGUAGAUUAUUAGGUUGAUAGUAUGUCCCAUUCUCUCUUUUUAUAAACGGAACUAUUACUGCUUUUGAAGUCUUUUGAAAUCAUUGCAGAGCAAUCAUUGUAGAAAAAUCAAAGAAGGGAGUGGCUAAAACUGGGGUUCACCAUUCUUACAUAUGCAUUUUGCCAUUAAGAAAUCAUUACCUGGUGGGUUUCUUUGUUUAAAUUGUUAACCCACUUUUUAAUUUCUAAGCACAUUAACUGUCAGCCAAUGAAGAAAUAAGUCAGCAUUCACACCUUGAUUUAUGUAUGUAUGUCAGAAUCAUAGUCAUAUAAUUGUAGAGUUGGAAGGGACCACAGGAAACAUCUAGUCCAACUCUCUGCAACGUACAGGAAAAGCAAUUAAAUCAUUCAUGAGAAAAGGCUGUGCAGCCUCCAUUUAAAAACCUCAGAGAUACCAUAGCUCUUAUUGGUAUAUUAUUCUACUACUGUGUCUGUCUAUCUGUGUCUGCCUGUCUAUCUUUCUAUCUAUUUCGUAAUGGUAUAUAUAAUGAAAAACAGAAAUGGAGUUUAAAAUAUCACCCACUGUUGUGGAUUAUUCUUCCCUAACAAGAUGGAGAAGAAUUUGGGGCACUGACUUUUACCUAUAGUCAAAUGUCAAAGAAAAGGUCAGGUUCAAUUCAGAGCAUAUGUGAAAUUUAUAAUUGGAUAAUGCAUUACAAAGAAUCAACUGUGUUUGCUAAGUGCAACAACUCAACUUGUAAAAUAUAUUGAAAUAGCCUUUGGUUCUGCAGAUUACAAAGCUAAUACUGAAAUUUUAAAAAAUGCAAUAUCUCCUUUGAACUUUUAAUUGUAUACUAUUAAUCUAAUGUUAUACAAAAAU